rnacentral:rRNA from 1 species
GACGGAGGGUGCAAACGUUGUUCGGAAUCACUGGGCAUAAAGAGCACGUAGGCUGCGCGCUAAGUCAGGUGUGAAAUCCCCCGGCUCAACCGGGGAACUGCACCUGAUACUGGCGUGCUCGAGGACGGUAGGGGUGAGUGGAACUCCAGGUGGAGCGGUGAAAUGCGUAGAUAUCUGGAGGAACACCGGUGGCGAAAGCGGCUCACUGGAUCGAAACUGACGCUGAGGUGCGAAAGCUAGGGUAGCAAACGGG